rnacentral:tRNA from 1 species
GCCUCGAUGGCGAAAUGGUAGACGCAGCGGACUUAAAAUCCGCCGACUUUAUUGUCUUGCGGGUUCGAGUCCCGCUCGAGGCA